ACACGCCCCCCUGCCGCUCACGCCACGUCCGACUUACAGCUUCAUAUUGCCAGUGAGUACCAGUCUGUUCUGCCAGAGCACAAUGAUCCUCAGUUGGUACCGACCUGUGAUUCACAGUACAAGUGUCCCCUUUGUGAAAAGAAGGGAGACUUGUGUAAGCUGGUCCCUCAUUUACAGGGCCACAAGCCAAACACAGUUAAACAUGCAGUGCUUCAAUCUAGAGAGAGCCUUCUACUCAAAUGUACUCUAUUGCGACCAGCCCAGGAAAAGGAGAACACACACAGACAGUAGUUGCAUUACCAGGACCUACCCAUGCAACAAACACAGCUGCUGUCACCCACCUUUUUGUGUCCUCCAAUAAGCUGGGACUUUGCUGUGACCCUAGAGACACCCUGAGCUAUGUGUGAACCAAACGUUGUGUCAGUCCAUCCAGUAGAUUUUUAAAUAUUUGGAUAAAUGAAAACUUUAAGAGAGACGGGAAUUCCUGAGAGAAGAACAGGUUGAUCUUCUCAGACCAGAGGUCAACCCGAAGAGAGAUGGUGAAAAAGAUUGUUCAUUGAUCACCAGGGUACCAAAAACUCUAAAAUACUUACAUAAGGUUGUUCGGAACACAACAAUUACUCUCACAAAAUAAGGAGGGUUUGAUGGAGAACAGAUGAAUAAGAUGAA